rnacentral:lncRNA from 1 species
AUGGCCAAUGAGCACACCCUCAUUCAUCCAGCGAGCAUUGAGGACCCCCUAGAGGCCAGGCCCAUGAGUGAUGAAGAUCCCGAGGAUGAAGACGCCUUGCCAGCCAGGUGCCCUUCCUGGCUCCCUGCUUCUUCCUCUCCUAACCUCCUGGCACUGUGCUCCUCACUCAGGAAUUGCACCCAGCAUCACCUCUGCAGGUGGAAGAAAGAAAUGGGAAGAAAAAGGAAGAGAACCAUAGCUACGUUGUGAGGGCAUUGCUUCAACUCUGGUAACUUCAUGUGAAAUGACUACAAAAUGAAUUAAUAUGCAGUAAGAGAGCCAGUGCCCCACCAGGGCACCUUUCCACUUGCUGGCACACAGAUUUACCACAAUUAGGAUACUGCUUGUCCUGUCAUGCCGGGAGAGUCUAAAUUACUCUGACUUUCAAGAAACCAAAAAUAUGCAUUUUUGAUGUUAGGAAGAUUUACUGUGCAUUGGGCUGUGUCAUUUGAUGAGGAAAAAACCAAAUGAUCUCUUUAUGAAAAUGAAGGUAAAAUAUAUGUAAAUGCCAUUUUAAUCUAACUUUUUAUAUGAAUGUAGAACAAAUAUCAAACAGGAUUAUACAGUGUGAUAGUCAGGAAAGUAGCAUGCUUUUGUGUUUUAUAGACUAGUCUAAAAGGAGCCCCAGUAGACUUGGUAUUGUUAAACCAAGGAGAUCUUGAGAACUGUUCUGUCUCCCUUGUGCCCAUAGAAUUGUAGCCUGUGGAGGUGACCAAGGAACCAGAUCCCAAGAGGCCUCUGCCACUGAAAGGAGAUUUUUAUUACUUGCGUUUCCUAGACGGGGGGGCACUCGCGCCAAGCAGGCCCACGGGGCACACUGGUGUCAGUCAAGGGGCAGAAAGGAGCCACAGGAAAGCCCAGGACAGAGCCUGAGUGGGGUUUCUGUGGGAAAGGCAGGGCAGGGCACCCGUGUAGGAAUGGCUAGUGUGAACAGUUCCAGUGGGCCCUGGGCUGUAGGAGAGAUCACUAGCUGCCUGCUACCAGGCCCUGGGGUGAUUUCGGGCAGGCGGGCAGUUAGAUAAGGGAGGUGGGUAGAGCCGACCACCUGCCUGGAACCCUGUGCUGGCUAUAAGCCCUGGGAGGGCCAGUCUCUCCCUGUGUCUGUAAGGCCCACAAAUGCCAAAGCAUUAGGAAUAAGAAAAUGGACGUAAUAGAAUUGAUCCUGUGAGGACUGGAUGCCUAACUGCCACAUACAGAAUGUGAGAAAGCACAGAACAACUGCCUUCAUUGACAAGAUGGUGCCCAGAGCUCAAGACAGGCACACAGCAGGAGGAUGCCGGCAGGAUCCCUCAACAAGCUUACCGUGGUAUCUUUCACAAUGUUAACUGUCAUCCCAGAUGAACUUUUAAUGACAGUGUAUCUCUGAAGAUUGUGCUUUUAGCGUAUUUUCACUUAAAGUCAUAUCUCAUUUAGUAGACCUGCCAGAUUCCUGAAAAGUUACACACAAGCCAGCUGACAUGACCUUUGCCAGUCAUGUUGACCACGUUCUCACCGAGCUGUGGACUCCUCACUAGGAGCCUUUACCUACGGCCAGAUGGCUGUUGUCACUGCCUGUGGUGGGGUUACGGUUUCGGACUCACCUGAUCCGUUCUGCCGGGAUUACCUACGGCCAGAUGGCUGUUGUCACUGCCUGUGGUGGGGUUAUGGUUUCGGACUUACCUGAUCCGUUCUGCCGGGAUUACCUACGGCCAGAUGGCUGUUGUCACUGCCUGUGGUGGGGUUAUGGUUUCGGACGCACCUGAUCCGUUCUGCCGGGAUUUUAAAGUAUGGGAGUUUAGGCAUACUUUGCAAGUUGUUUCUUGAAUAUACUUUUCUGAAUUAUGGCUUGCUAUACAAGUUUUGGUCUUUUAAGGUAAGAGUUACAAUGGAGAUGGGGAAAUUAUACUUUUCUCAUUUCAAGGAAAGCAACAGUCAUGAGUUAUGCAUCAGUUGGGAAACGGGAUGAUAGGAAGUUGCAAGGCAACCUGGUUUCAGCCGGACCGGGACUCUCCCGGGGCUGCGUCCUGCUAGAGCUGGCAGGACACAGAAUACCACUAGCAGCCUCCCUGGGAGUGGCUUGGCGUCUUGGCCACCUCUUUCCACGGAUGUGGUGGAUGUGGGGGUAAACUAGAGAGACUAAAGCCCACUAUUGGGCUCAGCUUCCUGUAGAAAUCAAAUCAGAUGAAAACCCUGACCCAGAGGGAGAAGGCAGAGAGUUGGACUUUUGAAAACGUGAGUGUGUCCAGCAACCAGGCAGCAACAGUCCUUGUUUUUAUCGAACUUCUAUAAGCACUUUAUUUCUCCAGAAUAAUUUCAUCAUAAAGAAUCCAGAGCUCAGACAGCUCUUUACCAUCUGUCUUUUCCUUUUUUCUUACCCUGUGUUUGGCUUGAUCUGGACUGCACUUAACCAUGACAAUGUUAAGUGCUUUCUUCUGGGUAAAAAUUCUGGCUUCUUCUCCAGAAAUUCUGGCUCCACUUCUCAAAUUGUUUCUGUCCCUGUUAGGAGACCCCUGGGGCCUCGGCUGGAGAGACAGUGCAGCUAGUCCCAGCAGCCACUGUGCUUGGGCCUGGCCAGCCCCUCCUCAGGGGUCACGGCACUGCUCACCUGGUGACUAGGUCUUCUCAGCCAGAUCAGUUCAUGUGCUCUGGUGUUUUUGAGCUUCUGGCUAGUCCUCAGUUUCUCAGACCUGGUUAAUCACAGUGUGGAGUCAUUUUUCAUAACUGUGCACCUCACUUGUUUGAUGCAUGGCAAGGGAAUAAUUAAAUUAAUAAACCUACAGAUAUUCCCCCUUACAGUUUUCAAAUACAGUAAGUGAAUUUCUACUAUAAAAUAGGUCCAAAGAGGUUUUAUUGUUUCUUAUUUGAAAUAAUUAAAGAACAUUUAUGUUUCCCUUUUGUGGUUUCUUGGUUCUAAUCCUGUGGGUUGCUUUUGACGUCCUCUGUUGGGGAUACACUGUGCAUCCGUAUUUAACAGGAGAUCCCGAACUCCCAGCAGGGAGCUAAGCACAGAUGUGUGCACAGAUGCGUGCUUAGGUAAGGAUUUUGUGCAAGGUGACUUGUAAUAUGAAACUGUAAAACGUGCUACCUUAGACUGGAGAGAGAAGGGGGUGGUCUGAUGUUUUCCACACGCCUCUUUUACCAAAAUGGGUCAUCUUAUCUGUCUCAGGCCAGGCCCCCGGGGGUGCACAGGAACAGCACAGCUGCAGUGAAGGAGGGGCUCCUGCAGCCGGGCUGGCCCCAGAGCUGUGGGUCGUGCCCCGCGUGUUGCUCAGCGCGUUCUGCAGUUGCCCUGGCCUUAGUCCCCCAUCUCGCUGUGAUAGCCAUGCAGGUCAGCAACUGUGAGCCUUCCUGGCUCCCACGCUGCCCCCGGCACCUCUCUCUGUUUCUGCUCCCAGCAUCCUCUCAGCUUCUCUUCUGAGCCCCACGCAGCGGUUCCUGCUUUACCAGCACCACUUCUCCUCUGUCACCGAGAGAGAGCAAGAGGCUGCCGCGCCUGUGCCAACUGCCUGGUGAGGCUCCGUCGAGUGAUGUGCAGGGCCUUGCGGUACAGCCCUCUCGAAC